rnacentral:rRNA from 1 species
GAUGAACGCUGGCGGCGUGCCUAAUACAUGCAAGUCGAGCGAACAGACGAGGAGCUUGCUCCUCUGACGUUAUCGGCGCACGUGUGAGUAACACGUGGAUAACCUACCUAUAAGACUGGGAUAACUUCGGGAAACCGGAUCUAAUACCGGAUAAUAUAUUGAACCGCAUUGUUCAAUAGUGAAAGACGGUUUUGCUGUUACUUAUAGGUGCAGCCGCGCCGCAUUAGCUAGUUGGUAAGGUAGCGGCUUACCAAGGCAACGAUGCGUAGCCGACCUGAGAGGGUGAUCGGCAAAACUGGACCUGAGACACGGUCAAGACUCCUACGGGAGGAAGCAGAAGGGAAUCUUCGGCAAUGGGCGAAAGCCUGACGGAGCAACGCGGCGUGAGUGAGGAAGGUCUCCGGAUCGUAAAACUCUGCUAUUAGGGAGGAAGAAAUGUGUAAGUAAAUAUGCACGUCUUGACGGUACCUAAUCAGAAAGCCACGGCUAACUACGUG